rnacentral:rRNA from 1 species
UUUUUCUACGGGAGGCAGCAGUGGGGAAUAUUGGGCAAUGGGCGCAAGCCUGACCCAGCAACGCCGCGUGAAGGAAGAAGGCUUUCGGGUUGUAAACUUCUUUUCUGAGGGACGAAGAAAGUGACGGUACCUCAGGAAUAAGCCACGGCUAACUACGUGCCAGCAGCCGCGGUAAUACGUAGGUGGCAAGCGUUAUCCGGAUUUAUUGGGUUUAAAGGGUGCGCAGGCGGCCUGCUAAGUCAGCGGUAAAAGCCCGGGGCUCAACCCCGGCGAGCCGUUGAAACUGGCGGGCUGGCGUUGGAGAG